GUGGCAUAGCUCGGUCCCAGCCUAACUCAGCAGUUUGCACAGAGUGCGGCUGUGUUUGAUCCCAUUAUUGCAUUGUCCCGUUGAAGGCAUUAGAAACUCCUCAAUGAAUUGCCUGAAAAAAAGAGGAUUAAAUCGGAAUUCCAAAAUUAUUCAACAAAUUUAAAUUUGGAAGAGCUCAC